GUCAUUUUAAAUAGCUUCUUAAGGGUCAUUUCCGUCAUUUUGAUAGGGCCAACCUUCAACUUUUCUUCAUUAUUUACACCCUUUUUUUAUUUGUCUUGUUUACACUGCCUUUCACUAAAUAUAAAUAAAACUUUUCUCAUUAAUUAACUAUUAACUACUCCAUCAUCUCCUUCUUCUUCUUUCAUUGCACGGUUGCUUUUUUUGGUGUUUAUAGUGUUUUUUGAAUUUAAUUUGGUUUGGAUUUACAAAUUGUUAACUUAAUUAGGUAGUUCAUAUUGGAUUCUUGGAACUUUGGUAGAUGUUUUGUUGCUAAAAAGGGUGCUUUUUAUGGUGUCUAUUGUUGGAUUUAGUUGUAAAGAUUAUAUUUUCGCUUAGUAUUUGGUAGCAAGAGGCAAUAAUUGGUAGUUUUAUUUGGUUGAAAGUUGGAAAAAGUCGUUUCUGUAGCUCAAAUAAAUUCCCCCCCUCUAUUGUACACUUGAAUUUGGUGGGUUUUGAAAAAUUUUCUACAAAUUUGAGCUGAAUUAGGAAGUGCAGUUUGAAAAAUUCGACAAGAAUCAAGUGUUAUUCCGUAAGAGGUGGCGGGUUUGGAUUUUGCGAAAGAUAAAAAGUUUGAGCCGUUGAAAGUUUUAGCUAAUUUUCAUGAUGAAGUUGUGUAGGCUAAAGGAACUGUUGCUUCAAGGACUGUUGUUAGAUUUGGUUAUAGAAAAUCUAAGCUGGCUUUGGUAAACAUUAGUAUUCUUCCAGUUCAAUUCUAUAAAGCAAAUCUUGAUUAUGGUUGUGUACUUGGUUAAGUGCUUUUCUAUGUUUUUUGUUCUUGUAGAUUUUUGUUUUAUUCUGUUUGUUGUAUGUAGGUAUUUGCAAACUUGUUGGUUGAUCCAUAUCAAAUAAUGAUGGCUAAUGUUGCAACUGCAUUAAGGAAGAUUCGGGUACGAAAUUGAGAGUUGAAGCUGCCUAUGCUGCACAUCCACAGCUGGUGUAUUUAUAUACAACAACAACAUACCCAGUGUAUUCCCACCUAGUGGGAUCUGGGGAGGAUAGAGUGUACGUAGACCAUACCACUACCUCAAGAGAAGUAGAGAGGCUGUUUUCGAUAGACCCCCGACUUAGGACCAAUAACAGUAUAACCAAUACAAAAAGUAAGCGCAUAUAAACUAGUAUGGUACACAAAACAAACUAACAGUACAACAAACACAAAAGAUAAGUGCAUAAUAAACUAGUACGGGAUGCAAAAAGCCAACAUCACUAGCCCCAAAAACUACAGCCACAACACUACGAACCAGAAACUCCAGAACCAAAGGAGCACUCCCCUAUUACUACCGCCGCGCUCCCACCCCCUAACCCUCUAUCCUAAUCUGUUUCCUCCACACCUUUCUAUUAAGGGUCAUGUCCUCUGUAAGCUGUAAUUGCUCCAUAUCAUGCCUAAUCACCUUCCUCCAAUUUUUCUUCGGUCUACCUCUAGCUUGCCUAAAACCAUCCAUAGCCAGAGUCUAACACCUCCGCACUGGAGCAUUAGGGCCCCUCCUCAUCACAUGCCCGAACUAACGUAGCCUCACUUCUCGCAACUUAUACUCUAUCGAGGCAACUCUCACCUUCUUCCGAAUAAUCUCAUUCCUCACCCUAUCUUUCCUGGUAUGUCCACACAUCCAUCGCAAUAUUCGCAUCUCUGCCACCUUUACGUUUUGGAUGUGGGAGUUCUUAACUAGCCAACACUCCGCUCCAUACAACAUAGUCGUUUGGACUACCACUCUGUAGAACUUACCUUUAAGCUUCGGGGGCACCUUCUUAUCACAAAGGACUCCCGAAGCGAUCUUCCACUUCAACCACCCUGCCCCAAUACGAUGCGUGACAUCCUCGUCAAUCUCACCAUUACCUGUUUUAUGAAAUUAUCUCAAUAAUUGUUUCUUUUAAAUUAAUGAAGAUCAACGUACUGGUUGUAGGUAGAAUUAUUCUUUAACAAUCACAAUUAUUGUCCUCAAUUUGAUAAGACCUCUUGCUACUUGGGAAAGAACAUUCUGGAAAAAGAACAAUGGGAUUUCAUUAUUGUAGAGUUUGAGCUCCAGGUGUCUCAUUGAAGGCUCUAUGGGCACGACGUCGAUUUUUAAUUCCCCCCACUCUUUUGCCUUCUUCUCUCCAUUUGAAACUAAGGUCUAUGGCACUUCACUGCUCGGAGUAGUGAAGAAAUAAAGAGAUCUAUCAUUUUUUUUCUUCGACUUCAACAUCAUUCUUCCUGAUAAGUUUUUCUUUACGUCCACUGUAUUACUCAAGUUUUGGUUUCAUUAGCUUUUCGGUGUUGGGAUCUUUUGUUCCGAUGAAUUUUGUUGGCGGCCUUUGUUUUCUAAAAAUUGGGCAACUUUUGCUGCCGAAUUUUGAUUGUGGGUUUUUCCUUUGGAGUGUUACUUAGCUUUUACUGCUAAAUUUUGUGGGUGAUUUGGGUUUUAAGUAGCUUUUACAGUUGAAUUUUGACGCUUUGGCUUUGGAAGUCUUGCCUGUUGCUAGAUAACUCUUAUGAUUUUUUUCAGAGUACCCUUACAGUUUGACGAGCAACAAGGUUUGUAGACUCUCCAGAGGGAUUUGCCUGUUCAGAGACACGAGUUCCAGAUCAACAGUAGAUUCUAGUCUCAGCAGUCAGAAUAGAAGUGAGUCCUCAUCCUUUGAGGACAUGAUUAUUUUGCCACUAUUUCAUUGAUUAGUUAUCAGUUGGAGUUAGUUGGGGACAUGUCCCAUCAACUCCUUAUUCAGAUUAUUCAGACAGUAGAGACUUUCAGACUAGAUGCAGACUAUUGUGUUUCAGACUUCAGUGUUUACAGAUUUUUUUUGGGUAUUGUAUUACCCCACAGAUGUUAUAUCAUUCAGAUUAUGUCCAGUAUUGAACUUUUUGGCCUUUCAGUACA